GACACCUUGUUUCUUUGAGCUGACCGAAAGCAUGGUUCCUUGGGAUAGGUUCAGUCCAAAUUGACUCUAUUUUCUAUUUUUCGGUUCCAUACAUAUAUAAUACGCACAGCCAGUGGUGAGACCAGAUUUUCAGGAACCAGUUUUGGUAGGCGCUUUAGGAAACUCACUGACUGUGUAAUUUGCGGACAUAUUCAAUAAAAAAAAACUUUACAUUGAUAAUCCAGAAUGCACCUAUCGUAUUUUGUAAGUUGUAAUUCACUGCAAGAUGCAUUUAAAUUUUUGAUAUUGGAGGUUACGUGGCGCUAGAAGGUGUUAUUCGACGAGCGGUGGGCGAAACGCGAGGCACAAUUUUCAACAGAUCCAGUCAACUUAUCUGCUUUGCCGACGACAUUGAUAUAGUCGGCAGAUCAUCUGCGGCAUUGAAGGAGAUCUACCGCAAACCGGAACGGGAAGCAGGAAGGAUUGGAUCAAUAAUUAAUACGUCCAAGACGAAGUGUAUGCUGGCCUGCGGAUCCGGGACCGAACGAACCCGCUUGUCCAGGUCACUAUCGACGGCGACGAGAUGGAGAUGGUCGAAGACUUUUUCAAUCUCAGCUCACUGGUGACCGCAGACAAUGACACCAGCCGUGAGAUUCGGCGGCAAGUCAUCAGCGGAAGUCGUGCCUACUAUGGACUCCACAAGCAACUGCGGUCGAAAAGACUUAGUCCUCUCAAGAAGUGUACAUAACGCUCAUUAGACCGGUUGUUCUCUACGGACACGAGACAUUGUUGUUUAUUUAAUAUAAAAUCAUCUGACAUAUGUAUCCCAAGUAACACAGAUUAUGCCAACUAGCAAUAGGAAGUUUUAUUAUGGUUUAAUUAUGGCAUUUUUUGUGCAGCUCGUUUUAUGGCGGUUUUAUUAUGGUCAUGCAGAAUGCUUAUAAUUUUUUUUUCGACCAUAUGUUUUUAGAUGGUUUUGAAAACGCUAAUAAAACUUUUAUUAAA